GACGAACGCUGGCGGCGUGCUUAACACAUGCCAGUCGAACGGUGAAGGGACCGGUUUUUGCUGGUUCUGGAUGAGUGGCGAACGGGUGAGUAACACGUGAGUAACCUGCCCCCUUCUUCUGGAUAACCGCAUGAAAGUGUGGCUAAUACGGGAUAUUCUGCGCCUGCUGCAUGGUGGGUGUGGGAAAGAUAUUGUUUCGGUGGGGGAUGGGCUCGCGGCCUAUCAGCUUGUUGGUGGGGUGAUGGCCUACCAAGGCGGUGACGGGUAGCCGGCCUGGGAGGGUGGACGGUCACACUGGGACUGAGACACGGCCCAGACUCCUACGGGAGGCAGCAGUGGGGAAUAUUGCACAAUGGGCGCAAGCCUGAUGCAGCGACGCCGCGUGAGGGAUGGAGGCCUUCGGGUUGUAAACCUCUUUCGCCAGUGAAGCAGGCCUGUCCCUUUUGUGGGUGGGUUGACGGUAGCUGGAUAAGAAGCGCCGGCUAACUACGUG
rnacentral:rRNA from 1 species